UACCAUAGUUCUACCACCUUAGAUCUCGUACGAUCACCGAAGUUAAGCAACGUCGAGCUUGGGCAGUACCUAAAAGUGUGACCGCUCGGGAAUAUCAA